GCAAGUCGAACGAGAAAUUCCGACUUCGGUUGGAAGAGUAAAGUGGCGCACGGGUGAGUAACGCGUGGGUAACCUGCCCUUGAAUCUAGGAUAACUUCGCGAAAGCAUUGCUAAUACUAGAUAUCGUCCAGAGAACUUUGGUUUUCUGGAUGAAAGAUGACCUCUUCAUGAAAGUUGUCGUUCAGGGAGGGGCCCGCGUACCAUUAGCUUGUUGGUGGGGUAAUGGCCUACCAAGGCUGCGAUGGUUAGCUGGUCUGAGAGGAUGAUC
rnacentral:rRNA from 1 species